UACGAAGGGGGCGAGCGUUGUUCGGAUUUACUGGGCGUAAAGGGCGCGUAGGCGGCGGACCAAGUCGAGUGUGAAAGCCCCGGGCUCAACCUGGGAGGUGCGCUCGAGACUGGUUUGCUAGAGUUCGGGAGAGGAGCGUGGAAUUCCCAGUGUAGAGGUGAAAUUCGUAGAUAUUGGGAAGAACACCGGUGGCGAAGGCGGGUCUCUGGGCCGAAAUUGACGCUGAGGAGCGAAAGCGUGGGGAGCAAACAGG
rnacentral:rRNA from 1 species